GACGAACGCUGGCGGCGUGCUUAACACAUGCAAGUCGAACGAUGAAGCCGGAGCUUGCUCUGGUGAAUUAGUGGCGAACGGGUGAGUAACACGUGAGUAACCUGCCCUUGGCUCUGGGAUAACUGCUAGAAAUGGUAGCUAAUACCGGAUACGACCCUCGGAGGCAUCUCCAGGGGGUGGAAAGAAUUUCGGUCAAGGAUGGACUCGCGGCCUAUCAGCUAGUUGGUGAGGUAACGGCUCACCAAGGCGACGACGGGUAGCCGGCCUGAGAGGGUGACCGGCCACACUAGGACUGAGACACGGCCCAGACUCCUACGUGAGGCAGCAGUGGGGAAUAUUGCACAAUGGGCGCAAGCCUGAUGCAGCAACGCCGCGUGAGGGAUGACGGCCUUCGGGUUGUAAACCUCUUUUAGUAGGGAAGAAGCGAAAGUGACGGUACCUGCAGAAAAAGCACCGGCUAACUACGUGCCAGCCGCCGCGGUAA
rnacentral:rRNA from 1 species